GCAGACCUACAGCAGCACCAGCCAGCACAGCCCUGCUCUGAAACGUGGGCUUACUGUGAGUACGCUGCAGGACUAACAGCAUGCAUCGGGCUAAGAAUUCAGAACAAGGAAGGCAGCGAAGCCACAACGGGUGAGGUCUGGUUGACUGCUUCAUGGUUAAGAGUGUCCUACCUUCUCUGUUCUCUUUACAUGACAAAGCAGUGAGUAUUCGUCGUCAGGCUGUGACUAAUCAGAAAAUCCACCACCAAACCGCAUUACAAAACACCAACCCAAACCAAAACCAACCAAACGCUAAUAAAUAAUGGUUAUCAGAUGGUCGCUAAUGAAGGUGAAUGACUUCAAACUCUCCCGGGGACACCUUCAGAAGCCAUCCUACCUGGAGGAAGAGAACCUGGGAGAAUGACAGACUUCAUCAAAACCUGAGAGUGGAAGCUGAAGUGGAAGUAAGAAUGUGAGCUAAUUAUAAAAAGCCCUUUUUUCUAAGCCCUGACGUUACAGAGUCGGGCUCUGGCAGCAGCCCCAUUGGUUCCGCUGCUCUGUCACGUUCCUCCCAUCUCCAGAGGUAGCCUUUAUCCUGCACACUGCAGCAAACAAUAACAUCCAAGUACAGAGACCUAAAAAUAACUGAGGUUUUAGUGCACAGUAUCUGCAAAACGCAAAGGGCGCUGUGAAAUAAACAGCUCAACAUCCCCCUGUUAACACAGCCCCUUUUUGUUGCAGCUUGUCAAUCACUCUUCCAGCUCACCUGUCAGCUUUGUUCCGACUGAUCAAACCCAACAUGCUCUUAAGGAGAGCAGAACUGCUUUUCUCAGACUUUCUGCUGUAAAAGAAUUCCAGUAAAUGCUGCCCAGAAACCCAUUUGACCACCCCAGACGAGCAGAGAACAUUUCUUAAUGGGGAGGAGAACAUUUUAUUAGAAGAAUCUGACACUGACUUUUCAGAGUGAAAUUCCAAGGGCUGACAAAGCUGUUUGCAGAAAGGAGGGGCUCUCAGGAGCGAGCAGAGAUGUGAGCUCAGAAUCCACGGAUCCCACUUCCCUCCCCACCAAACCCACCCUGUGCAGUUCUAGUAGCCAUUACCACGCUGAACCUGCUUCAAAAGCUGCUGCCUACAUUCAUCUGUCACUGUGUAUUAAAAUCAAUGUAGAAUCUGAGAGCGACUUGCACAGAAUACCACACAGUGAAGCACUGAUUGCACCUUUUCCUCUCUACCAUCCGACAGCUUUAAGGUCUACGCUGCUCCCUGUGAAAGCCAAACACAGUGCUUCAGGAAGAUGGAACUUACCUGCUCUCAUUGUGCUUUUGAUUACUACUGUAAUCCUAUUUAACUGCUGUUGAAAUAAUGCCUUAUUAUCGUUCCGACACCUUUGAAAGACAGAAGCACUCAUUAAGAGGUUUCUCAGAUGCGAGGAGGAAGCAGAAGCGAGCAGAUUGAACCACGUGUUGCUGAAUUUACACCUUAGAGGAAAUAAAGUCAUCAGUACACACACAGCUGAUACAUACACGUUCAUGAAAAGCAACUACACGUUAAAACAAGGAAGGAUGCAAAUAUUUUCUUAUGUCCUUGCACACGAAUUUUAUGUUGCUUUCUAGUUUUCAGAUCACCUGCUAAUACACAACCUGAAGUAAUACAUCUGCCAGCUCUUCCUAUCAACUGUAGGUGGCAGGGGAGGGUCUGCAUGUUCCUAGAGCCCAGUUCUUCCUAACAGCUCUAAGUGUUUGACCCCACCAUCCUCUGCAAUGUAUUUUACCUGCCAACUAAGCUGGAAAUCGUGCUUCUCGUCUUGACACAACCUGGAGGAGAUCAGGAGGCAGAACAGUGAGCUCUGCCAAGAGGGUGCUUUGGUUUUCAUUGCUCCUGCAAACAUCUCUUAAAAAAAAAAAAAACAAUCCCCAAUUCGAUACAUUCAUAAUUGAAGGCACUGAAAAGGCACUCUGGAGUUUGCUUUAUGG